rnacentral:tRNA from 2 species
GGAGGGGUGGUCGAGUGGUUGAUGGCUCCAGUCUUGAAAACUGGCAGGGCGCAAGCCCUCGUGGGUUCGAAUCCCACCCCCUCCG